GACGAACGCUGGCGGCGUGCUUAACACAUGCAAGUCGAACGGUGAAGGGACCGGUUUUUGCUGGUUCUGGAUGAGUGGCGAACGGGUGAGUAACACGUGAGUAACCUGCCCCCUUCUUCUGGAUAACCGCAUGAAAGUGUGGCUAAUACGGGAUAUUCUGCGCCUGCUGCAUGGUGGGUGUGGGAAAGAUAUUGUUUCGGUGGGGGAUGGGUUCGCGGCCUAUCAGCUUGUUGGUGGGGUGAUGGCCUACCAAGGCGGUGACGGGUAGCCGGCCUGAGAGGGUGGACGGUCACACUGGGACUGAGACACGGCCCAGACUCCUACGGGAGGCAGCAGUGGGGAAUAGUGCACAAUGGGCGCAAGCCUGAUGCAGCGACGCCGCGUGAGGGAUGGAGGCCUUCGGGUUGUAAACCUCUUUCGCCAGUGAAGCAGGCCUGUCCCUUUUGUGGGUGGGUUGACGGUAGCUGGAUAAGAAGCGCCGGCUAACUACGUG
rnacentral:rRNA from 1 species